rnacentral:rRNA from 1 species
ACGAACGCUGGCGGCAUGCCUAACACAUGCAAGUCGAACGAACCCUUCGGGGUUAGUGGCGCACGGGUGCGUAACGCGUGGGAAUCUGCCCUUUGCUUCGGAAUAACUCAGGGAAACUUGUGCUAAUACCGGAUGAUGUCUUCGGACCAAAGAUUUAUCGGCAAGGGAUGAGCCCGCGUAGGAUUAGGUAGUUGGUGGGGUAAAGGCCUACCAAGCCGACGAUCCUUAGCUGGUCUGAGAGGAUGAUCAGCCACACUGGGACUGAGACACGGCCCAGACUCCUACGGGAGGCAGCAGUGGGGAAUAUUGGACAAUGGGCGCAAGCCUGAUCCAGCAAUGCCGCGUGAGUGAUGAAGGCCCUCGGGUCGUAAAGCUCUUUUACCAGGGAUGAUAAUGACAGUACCUGGAGAAUAAGCGCCGGCUAACUCCGUG